rnacentral:rRNA from 1 species
GUGAAACUCAAAGGAAUUGACGGGGACCCGCACAAGUAGCGGAGCAUGUGGUUUAAUUCGAAGCCACGCGCAGAACCUUACCUAAGCUUGACCUCCCAAUGCCCUCUCCUUAAUCGGCGAGUUCCCUUCGGGGACAUUGGUGACAGGUGGUGCAUGGUUGUCGUCAGCUCGUGUCGUGAGAUGUUGGGUUAAGUCCCGCAACGAGCGCAACCCUUGUCUUUAGUUGCCAUCAUUAAGUUGGGCACUCUAGAGAGACUGCCAGGGAUAACCGGGAGGAAGGUGGGGAUGACGUCAAAUCAUCAUGCCCCUUAUGCUUAGGGCUACACACGUGCUACAAUGGGUAGUACAGAGGGUUGCCAAGCCGUAAGGUGGAGCUAAUCCCUUAAAGCUACUCUCAGUUCGGAUUGUAGGCUGAAACUCGCCUACAUGAAGCUGGAGUUACUAGUAAUCGCAGAUCAGAAUGCUGCGGUGAAUGCGUUCCCGGGUCUUGUACACACCGCCCGUCACACCACGGGAGUUGGAGACGCCCGAAGCCGAUUAUCUAACCUUUUGGAAGAAGUCGUCGAAGGUGGAAUCAAUAACUGGGGUGAAGUCGUAACAAGGUAGCCGUAUCGGAAGGUGCGGCUGGAUCACCUCCUUUCUAAGGA